GAUGAACGCUGGCGGCGUGCCUAAUACAUGCAAGUCGAGCGAACAGAUGAGGAGCUUGCUCCUCUGACGUUAGCGGCGGACGGGUGAGUAACACGUGGAUAACCUACCUAUAAGACUGGGAUAACUUCGGGAAACCGGAGCUAAUACCGGAUAAUAUAUUGAACCGCAUGGUUCAAUAGUGAAAGACGGUUUUGCUGUCACUUAUAGAUGGAUCCGCGCCGCAUUAGCUAGUUGGUAAGGUAACGGCUUACCAAGGCAACGAUGCGUAGCCGACCUGAGAGGGUGAUCGGCCACACUGGAACUGAGACACGGUCAAGACUCCUACGGGAGGAAGCAGUAGGGAAUCUUCCGCAAUGGGCGAAAGCCUGACGGAGCACCGCCGCGUGAGUGAUGAAGGUCUUCGGAUCGUAAAACUCUGUUAUUAGGGAAGAACAAAUGUGUAAGUAACUAUGCACGUCUUGACGGUACCUAAUCAGAAAGCCACGGCUAACUACGUG
rnacentral:rRNA from 1 species